AAAUAAAAAGAAAUGAAAGAAAAACAAAAAAUAGGUCUCGAUCCCUUUUCGGGGCGGUGCACUUCCUCUGUUUCCUCUGCUUUUUUUCCGUU
rnacentral:ribozyme from 1 species